rnacentral:rRNA from 1 species
GCCAUGCAUGUCUUAGUAGAAACAAAUCUGUACUGAGUGACUGCGAAUGGUUCAUUCAAUCAUUUAUUAUUUACUGGAUACCUACUUUAUGAUUGAACAACCGUGUUCAUUCUCUAACUAAUGCAUGCAAGACCUCCCACUUCGGUUGGGCUGAUUUUAUUCAAUACGGCCCUGACCACACUUGUGUCCUUGGUGAUUCAAACCACCUGUCCUUAUGGUGUGGGCGUGUCCCGACUACUUUUGCUUCAUAUUUCUGCCCUGUCAACUUUCAAGGGUACGAUGGAUGCCUACCAUGACUUUUACUGGUGACGCGAAACUAGGGAUCGAUUCCGGAAAAGGACCCCGACAAAUGGCUACCGCAUCCAGGGAGGGCAUUACGCGCGCCCAUUACCCAAAGGCAACGCCGCUAGGUAAUGACAGAAGGUCACAGUGCUUGGUCGUGUGCCUUUAACAUUUUAAUGAGAACAAUUUAGAUCCCUUAACGGGUAACUAUGGGGGGGCAAGUCUGGGGCCUUCCACCUCUAAUAUUCCAGCUCCAAUAUGUUGCAUUAAAGUUGUUCCAAUUCAAACUUUCGUAGCCUGAUGUAUGGCGGACUGUUGUGUGACUCAGCACUGUACUGUUUCUGCGUUUCCGCCCCCUGGACAGCAAUGUCCCAGUUUACUUUGACGAAAUUAGAGUGUUCGAAAAAAUUAGAUUGCUUGAAUACUGCUGUUGCUUGAAUGGAAUAGGACUCGCGUCUUAUUUUGACCUUUGUGCUAUGUGAGUAAUGAUGAUACUGACAGAUGGAUUAAUUGGACAG